GGCCAAGCAUCAGUGCAAGAAAAAGCUGUAUGUUUAUAACUGGUGCUGCUUGGCACAUCCCAAGUUGCACUUUUAAAAGCAUGCUACACUCGCUGUGAAAGGGUAUCUUUAGCACGACUUGCAGAAUCACUCAAACAUGUGCUCCAUUUAAUAAGUUAUAACAGGCUUUCCCAAACUCCAGCCUUCCAGAUGUUGCUGAACUACAACUCCCAUGAUUCUCAGCCUAUCUAGUUCAUUCAGCGAAUCAUGGGACUUGUAGUUCAGCAACAUCUGGAGGGCCGGCAUUUGGG